rnacentral:hammerhead_ribozyme from 1 species
AUCCAACUGAUGAGUCCCAAAUAGGACGAAACGCGCACCAAACUGGAU